GCAGGGAGUCAUUUAAAGUCCAGUCAGUAACCUCGGACAAGGUCUCCGUCCCUCCCCAAAGUCUGCGUUGGAUCCCCCAGAGCAGGAAAUGUUCGUGUCACUCAAACUUGGUACUCACAAAUCCAAGCUCCAGAAGGAACCCACGUCGUGGUCAGAAAUAGACCGGAGGGGACUGCGCGGGCUGUGCAGGGCUGAGGGGAGAUCGUGUUCUGUGCCCUGUCUGUCCAGUGCUGCUCAGUCGCUCCCAUUACCCCAGAACUCAGAGUGGACGGUAAGCUUAUUUCUCACUUCCCUGAGUCCAGACAGACCCCUUUCAGCUCCAUGCCUCUCCUUCCAUGCUGCAGAAGGUGGUGAUGAGAGGAAGGUGUUGUUUGGUUUGAGCCCUGGUGUCUGGGAAGGAGCAUGCAGAAUGGAACGUGAGGGGCCAUGUCCUGGGCAGGCUCCCACCUAAGGGUGUGGGAGCAGGAGCCUCUCGGAAGUGAUAGCAUCCCUAGGGAUGGUCCUAGGGAAGUGGCUGCCCAGUGCAGGGCGGGCCUGGGGAAAAGGUCGAGGUUGUGUCUGAAUUCCCUGGGGCGAGGUUCUGAGAAGUGCAGGCAGAAGGCCUUGACUUCCUUUUCUUCUCUACUCAGUAUCUACCUCUGCCUGCCUCCUCUGUGGGCUGCUCUGCUGCCCUCAGUGUGAGACCCCUUCCUCCUUCCCUCCCGCUCUGCCACUGCUCCUGAAUCUCCAAGAUCUGUGCCAUGGCUGGCUUUACGCCUAGCCCAUGGACAUUGGCUUCACGGAAAUUAAGAUCUGCCCCCUUCACCCCACCUUUAGAAGGGACAGAGACAGCAGUUGGGUAGGGUGGGUGAGAAGAUUUAGGCUUGGGAGCCCAGCUGAGAGGGCUCCCCCGCAAGCUUUCUUCGGUGGUUUCUCCAAGUUCACUGUGAACAAGUCCGGACACUUAAAGCUUAGCCGCAGUAGAACCCGGGGUAACCACAGAGCAGCUGUGCGUGUCAAGACUUGGGGUUAGCUCGCAGGUAUCUGGGGUUAGACAGGAAUGCUCUCCAGGGGACCAGAGGUGGCUGUCCUUUGGCCACUCCUCCCCUCACUCCUCUCCUUUACUCUCAGCAGCCUUUGUCAUCUCUCUCUCAAUCCCUGAGCUCCCGGCACAGCCCCCCUGCAUGAGAGUCCUUCACACUGCUGCUCAGGAGAAUGCCCGCGCAUAUGGGGCCCUGAAACCUUGCUGGCAUUUGUCACAAGGGAAAUGGCUGGGGUCAG
rnacentral:lncRNA from 1 species